rnacentral:rRNA from 1 species
CCGUGGGCGUUGGAAGAUUGAAGGGGGCUGCUCCUAGUACGAGAGGACCGGAGUGGACGAACCUCUGGUGUUCGGGUUGUGUCGCCAGACGCAUUGCCCGGUAGCUAAGUUCGGAAUCGAUAACCGCUGAAAGCAUCUAAGCGGGAAGCGAGCCCUGAGAUGAGUCUUCCCUGAUACUUUAAGUAUCCUAAAGGGUUGUUCGAGACUAGAACGUUGAUAGGCAGGGUGUGUAAGCGUUGUGAGGCGUUGAGCUAACCUGUACUAAUUGCCCGUGAGGCUUAACCAU